GUUGAUAUUUUGUUUCAAAAUUGAUAUUUUGUGUGAAUAGUUGUUUGGUUAGUGGUGGAUUCUCCUUUAUAUAAUUGUGACUUUGGUAAGUAUUUUGAAAGAGAGAAAAAUAAAGGAAACAAGCAGACAGACAGAGAGUUUGAGGAGAUGCCGAGAGAAGGCAGAGAGGGCCGAGAAUUGGUGAAUUGAUAAUUAUGUGAUUAAUUCUUUUACAGAUUUCAGGUACCGAGGAUGAACUUGAAUUGCUAGUAGUGGGCUUAGGUGGAAGAGUUGGUGUAGAAGAUUAUUUUUUUUUUUUACAGAUGUUGUAUUAUUUAUUUGAGGAAAUUGAUUCUGUAUCAAUAAAAUGAUAUUUCUUUUUUUGAGA